rnacentral:rRNA from 1 species
GACGAACGCUGGCGGCGUGCUUAACACAUGCAAGUCGAACGCUGAAGCUCAGCUUUUGUUGGGUGGAUGAGUGGCGAACGGGUGAGUAACACGUGAGUAACCUGCCUCCUUCUUUGGGAUAACGCCCGGAAACGGGUGCUAAUACUGGAUAUUCACUGGUCUUCGCAUGGGGGUUGGUGGAAAGGGUUUUUCUGGUGGGGGAUGGGCUCGCGGCCUAUCAGCUUGUUGGUGGGGUGAUGGCCUACCAAGGCUUUGACGGGUAGCCGGCCUGAGAGGGUGACCGGUCACAGUGGGACUGAGAUACGGCCCAGACUGCUACGGGAGGCAGCAGUGGGGAAUAUUGCACAAUGGGCGCAAGCCUGAUGCAGCGACGCCGCGUGAGGGAUGGAGGCCUUCGGGCUGUGAACCUCUUUCGCUCAUGGUCAAGCCGCAACAAUGGUUGUGGUGAGGGUAGUGGGUAAAGAAGCGCCGGCUAACUACGUG